rnacentral:rRNA from 1 species
GAUGAACGCUAGCUACAGGCUUAACACAUGCAAGUCGAGGGGAAACGAUAGAGAAAGCUUGCUUUUUCUAGGCGUCGACCGGCGCACGGGUGAGUAACGCGUAUCCAACCUGCCCACCACUUGGGGAUAACCUUGCGAAAGUAAGACUAAUACCCAAUGACGUCUCUAGAAGACAUCUGAAAGAGAUUAAAGAUUUAUCGGUGAUGGAUGGGGAUGCGUCUGAUUAGCUUGUUGGCGGGGUAACGGCCCACCAAGGCGACGAUCAGUAGGGGUUCUGAGAGGAAGGUCCCCCACAUUGGAACUGAGACACGGUCCAAACUCCUACGGGAGGCAGCAGUGAGGAAUAUUGGUCAAUGGACGAGAGUCUGAACCAGCCAAGUAGCGUGCAGGAUGACGGCCCUAUGGGUUGUAAACUGCUUUUAUAAGGGAAUAAAGUGAGUCUCGUGAGACUUUUUGCAUGUACCUUAUGAAUAAGGACCGGCUAAUCCGUG